CAGGUCUUUUACAGAGUGGUGCGAGGCUCAUGAGGGAGUGCAUUUACCAGUGACAGCUUUUAACCAUGGACACAUCCUCACUGUUCCUCAGCCAGCUGCUGGCCAAAGCUUUCCCUUCUGGAGGACAGCAAGCAUCCAGGAUCAUUUCCACUGCAUCUUCUGCCAUAUUGUGAUGGGAAGGAGAGACAGGAAAGGGUAUGAUGAAAAAAGUACAUGGAGCCAUUUUUG